UGAGUUCUCCAUCCCUCCUCACCUCAUUGAUCGGAAAGUCACCCGCAUGAAGAUAAUAUCUCCGUCCAAUCUGGCCGUUGAUUUUGGUAAAACUCUGAAGCCCCAUGAGUUCAUCUCCAUGCUCCGCCGAGAAGUGCUUGAUGACUUCCUACGCCGCCGUGCUGAGUCUUGUGGCGCCGCACUUAUCAAAGGACUUGUCACAAAUGUGGAGGUUCCCCUAACAAGCAGCUCUUCAUAUGUUAUUCACUAUAAUAAGAAUAAUUCACAGAAAUCUCUUGCUGUUGAUGUUGUUAUUGGUGCUGAUGGAGCCAACAGCAAGGUGGCUAAGGCCAUAAAAGCAGGAGAUUACACUUGUGCUAUUGCUUUUCAAGAAAGGAUUAAGUUGCCUGAGGAGAAAAUGGAAUAUUAUGAAAAUUUGGCUGAAAUGUAUGUCGGAAAUGAUGUUUCACCUGAUUUUUAUGCGUGGGUUUUCCCCAAGUGCGAUCAUGUGGCAGUGGGAACGGGGACAGUAUGCUCAAAGAAGGAUAUCAAGAUGUUUCAACAUGGCAUAAGAGCAAGAGUUAGGCCAAAAACUCAUGGCGGUCAAGUAAUUAAAGUUGAGGCUCAUCCAAUCCCUGAGCAUCCACGUCCAGUUAGAGUCAGGGGACGAGUGGCUCUGGUGGGGGAUGCAGCAGGAUAUGUGACGAAAUGUUCUGGUGAGGGAAUUUACUUUGCUGCCAAGAGUGGGAGGAUGUGCGGGGAAGCAAUUGUCAAGGCAUCAGAAGGAGGUGAAAGAAUGAUUAGUGAAGAAGAUUUAAAGAGGGAGUAUUUGAAGAAGUGGGAUGAGAUGUAUUUAACUACAUUCAGGUUUUUGGAUUUGUUGCAAAGGGUGUUUUAUGGUAGCAAUGCUGCUAGGGAGGCAUUAGUGGAGUUGUGUGGGGAUGAGUACGUGCAGAGGAUGACAUUUGAGAGCUAUCUGUAUAAGAAGUUGGCCCGGGGGAACGGAUGGGAUGACAUUAAGAUGGUCAUGAAUACAAUUGGGAGUCUAAUUAGGUGUGAUAUUGUAGGCAGAGGGAUUGAAAUGUUUGACAAACGAGUUCUUGCACAGUUGUAGUGUAUCAGGGAACUAGUUAAAUGAAAGAGAAUCAAAUGAAACUUCAUCAGUACUUCCCAGAGAAGUACAGAUCCAGGAAGUUUUAGCUUUAAAUCACCUAAAAACCUUUUGGUAUGAACAAAUGGUUGUGCCAUUACUCUAUUUCAGUUCUUCAUAAAGCAGAUUCAAAUUGUUGUUUCCAAGAAAAUCUUUGCUGCGGUGGUCAAUUUAGCCUUUCAUCAUUGCCUUAAGUAUCAUCCUGUAAAGUAAUGAAUAAUUAAGAACUUGACUACAUUAUUAUAACUUCUGGGUGCAUAAAUACAGCUUUACAGUGGAAAGAAGUGAAACAUUUAAGCAAGCUAUAACUUUUCAGCAAAGCUUCAAGUUGAAUUAACAGUUUCCUACCAUACACACACUAUUUACCUUGAUCCUAACAUUAUAGCCCAGUCGAGCUAAGAGUUUCUUACCCACUUUGUACCUCGAUUCUAACAUUAGCCAGCUCCUGUUUUUGCCUCUACUGAUACCACAAUUUAUUUGUACAACUUAUUCGCUAUAUGCAUAGAGUUCAAGUGUUUCAAGAGAAAAUCAAAUCCCAUUUUCACACCAUUCUGUAUCCAUCCUUUCUUGACCCCUCCGCCCUCCGCCACAACCAAUUUCUUUCUUCAUGUAGUGCACAUUGUGUUUGAAUCUUUUGCGACAAGGUUUUGAAAAUAAAAAAAACCCAAGUGCCUAGUGAUGAAAAAGUAAUUAGAGCAGUAAAAGGGUUAAAGCUUGAUAUAUUUCCACAUAUAAUAGGACCCAAAUAACAACCUAAUAGUUGAAUAGGUGGCUAUGCAGCCACCAAUCAUCCCUCUUGGUUAAAGACAUACAAGCAUAGAGGAUAUAGGCUCUGAUUUAGUAGACGUAGUUUGCAGAACUUGGAGGAAUAUGUGCUUUGCUGCCUGUGUUAUGCAGCAUUUCUGGGACUUAAUUUAGUCAAGGGAGAAGAUUUUGAAAGCAAUGCAAGGCAGAGAUGGAGUUGAGGAUUGAAAAGAAUGAACAGGAGAAGAGCGUGCAUGAAAAACAUAGGCAGGGGGGAGGGGACUAGCCAAGGUAAGCCCCUUAAUUAUGACAGAGAAAAGACAAAUAUGCAAAGAGGAAAUUACAGAAUAUUAAGGAAAAGAAUUCACCUUAUACUUAGAAUCUCUCUUGAUGAAGUGCAUAAGAUGCCAUAUUCUAGGCCAAAGAAGUUAAUUCUUAAAAAUGCAGAGAACCAAAGCUUCAAAAUAGAAUGAAAAAAAUCAGUUUAUGAUGCUAACUAGCCUUUUUGAUUUUAAUAACUAUUAAUAUACUACGAAUAGAACUAUAUAUGUUUACACAUACAUAUACAGUACGGCCUUCAACCCGCACUUGUCUCCGAGACUCAUACCUGACUCCACUCAAAGUGCCCUUAGCUAAAGGUUUUCUCAAAAGAUUAAUGUUUCUUCUAAAUGUGUUUCAAUUUUAGGUAGCCAUGUAAAUACUAUAUGUAUGCCUCUGUGAUUUAUGUCAAUUUCACUCUAAACAUUUUAAAGCUUGGGAUCCUCCUCAAAACACCAGAGUAUCUUAAUCUAUAACUAACAUGGUCUUAAUUUGGUUGGGCAGAAAACAAUCACAAGCAUAAAAUGUAAUUAUCCUACUCAUGUUAGGGUUAGCAUUUUUGUAUUUUCAGAGACCCUAUCCAACAUUACUCCCCCAAUUCAAAGAAUUCAGACUCUCUUGCAAUUAUUCAUGCACUGUUAAGCUGCAUCUGUAUAUUAGCAUAACACCAGAGAAGCCUAAGCAGUAUGUCUCUCAUAAUAUAACAUAAAAAGGUUUGCUGAUACACAACAAAGUCACUUAAUACCUGCAAUUCACUAAAACUUUUGCACAAAGGGUACUUUAAAGUAUCAAGAUGUCACUAAUUUCACCAAUGAUCCACUUAAGGUCCUCUUUAAACCAUAUGCUUCAAAUUCUUAUUUGGCUAGAAAAGUCCAGAUAACUUGCACCUCAACUGCAAUUUCUCAUAUUAAAUCUCUAGCACAAAGUAGCUUCAUAUAACUACUUUUUUUAUAUUAACCAAAAAAAAAAAAAAAAACAGCAAUACAAGAACCCAGAAGAACCAAACCGAUGAAAUCCUUUUAUUGUUCUAUUCUUAAUAACAACAAGAUAACAUGAAAAAAGGUUGCUGCACCAUUUUUAAUAAGCAUUGCAAUCAGACCAUCAAAAUGAAGUGCAAAAGGUCGAAGUUGAAAGAAUGUGAGCUGUGAAACUAAUAGACAUGAAAAAUACAAAAUGAUCUUAAUAAAAGCUACCAUAAAUUAAGGAAUCAAAACUGUGAGCAUAAGCGAAAAGAGUUCAUGGAAGAUAAAAAGAGUUAAAAAGCAGAGGAUCUUACGGUUUUUUUUUUUAAACCUUUUGUCAUUCAGAUCAGAUAGAGCCAGCAAUUAUAUUCUUGUAACAAACAUAACCAGAACACAAACUUUGAAAUUUCCCCAAAUAACCAAGACAGGGAGGUUCCUUGCUUGUCGGCAAGUGGACAGAAAACAGAAAUACCUACAAAAAAGGAAAAAAAAAACUAAAAUGGAACAAAAAAGUAAGCCCGAUACUCCGGUAUUUGAUGCUGGAGAUGGAUAGUUUGCAUCCACCUGUUGAUUUUGCAGGAGAUGAAUAGGUUUACUUGGGGCUGAUACCGCUGAAAAUAUAAGGUUGGAAUUGAAGGAAUUUUGUGAUGGUUGAAGAUGAUACAAACAUUCAAUUGGAAAUUCCCUGGGAGAAAGAGAUGAAAUUGAGGUGGAACAAUGAGGUGGAGAAGGAGUUUUGAGGGUUGGAUUUUUGGGAGAAGAUGGAUUCCGGCGUUCAUGAAGCAGUGGCGGCCCUGGAGGACGACGCCUGGAGGGAGGAGGAGGAGAACCACCCGUACUAAAGGACUGGACGGCCCCCUUUUUUCUGACGAGGACGACACGUGGCAGAUUGUAAUGUCCUGCUUAGUGACGUGUCUGUACAGUCAUCAUACACGUAAGCAUCAUGAAUGACAUGGCAUCCAUGUCAUCAUCACACGAUUUGUAUGACUCGCUGUACGUGGUCUGCAAUUUCCUUCACUUUCUUCAUAGUUAGGUCAAGUUAGGGUUUGUUUUUAUUUCUGACAAGGUUUUUUGUAAUUAAUUUGUUAGUUCAAUUUAUGGAUUCAUUCUUUAAUUCAUGUAGAACACAUAUUGCCUUUUUGGUUAGUGAUUUAAAGAUUUUUUAAUUACCUUUGACAAUUUAUUAAUUGUCUUCGACAAUGUAUUAAUUUUUUUUUUAAAUUUUCUAGGUUUCUGGGAUUAGAAAAUUUUUGUGCAGUUUUCAAUUUUUUCUUUUAGACUUUGGUAGAAAGCAAUAUACAUCACACUAUUUAGAUUUUUUCAUGUUUUUGACUUAAGAGCAAAAUACAUCUGUUCUUUUUUUUUUUUCCCAACAACGAUACAUUGUAUAACCUACUCUAUCCUAAUUUAGAGAGAGGAGGAGCCUAAAAAGGCUUGUGUUAAAAGCUAGUGGGUAUACUGUGGCGACCCCACUUCCCCCUGAGGCGAACCAAAGGAUUGGCGGGCCGUCUGCCCAACUCUCGCCAGGACUCACGCGAGCAAUCUAACCCGAACCCUUUCGAAGAAUAAACUAAUCUAUUACAAAAUCAUCUUCCCCGAAUAGAAUCAUAUCUAAAGCCACAUUACCUUCGGAGAUAGCAAUGAUAAAAUUUCCAGUCGAGACCCUUAAACGACCUACGUGCUACUUACCAAAGUACAAAGUCAUAACAAACCGGAUAGAUAAAAUGCAUAAAUCCAUAAUACAACUUACAAGCCAAGUAAUCGAACUAAGGUUUACACAUUUUCCAGCUUCAAGUGGCAAUCCAAAAAGGAAAAUACAUUAUCCCCAAAUAACACAUUACAGCCCACAGGAUAAGAUAUAGUGUUCAAAUGCAGUCCAAAAGAAAAACAUAAAUUAAGUAAGCAUCCAACUUUCAGUUUCCAGAACCUGUAAAGGAAAACAAUAAACGUGGGGUGAGCUAAAACUCAGUGGUGCCCCAAAACAUACAAGCACAUAAUUUCAAACAGCGAUUAAUAACUGCACAAAUUUAAACAGUUAGGAAAGCGUAUAACAGCACAAGGUAGGAUACAUGGGCUCUCAGGAGCCAUUUCCCUCGCUUGAGCACCAAUUAUCGUAGUUGACCCUCCGUCAACUCUCACUACUUAUAAGCCAUGUAGAUCCACUUAUUUUAAUCCUAACCCGUCACCAUUCAUACCUCUGCUUCGGGCCCGGACUUCGCCUACCGACGCAGUAUACUCGAGAUAUACCCGUAUAAAAUUAGUCGAGGGAUUCACCCAAUGACGUGAUUGCAAUCAGAUACAUGCGUCGAGAAAUUUACCCAAUGACGUGAUUGCAAUCAGAUACAUGCGUCAAGAGAUUCACCCAAUGACUUAUUGUAGUUAGAUUCAAGCGUCAAGGAAUUCACCAAAGACGUGAUUGCAAUCAGAUACAUGCGUCGAGAGAUUCACCCAAAGACGUGAUUGCAAUCAGAUACAUGCGUCGAGGGAUUCAACAAUGAUGUAACUACAUUUAGUUUCAUGGUAGUUAGAUUCAUGCGUCGAGGGAUUCACCCAACGACGUAGCUACAUAUAGAUUUAGGAGAAAAAUGUUUUGCACAAGUCACCACUCGAACGGCUAGUGCGAUAAAGUACACACAGCUCACUUCGAUGGAUCAGAAACCAAUUUUUUUCAAAUUAUCACAUAUCCAGUCAAGAAGGUACUUUAAGCAGGUAAGCAUAGAACAGGCAGGGACACUCACCAAGAGUGGAGUUCAGAUAUCAAGUUGGGGAUCGAAUUCCGCGUCCUCGAAAAACCCUAAAAACCAAAAUUUGAAACUAUAAGUUUCUACUUAGUUUUUAAGCUUAUAGUCAUUAAAGUAUAUUUAAUAUACUACUAGUUCACUUUCCCUUAGAAAUAUCAAGAGUUCCUUAGAUUAAAACUUGACAAAAGUAGAAAAGAUAUUUCCUAUGGUUUUCCUUGAGGUACUUUUCUAGAAUGAAGUAACUAGUAUUAUUUUAUUGAAAUAAGUCGAUAAACCUCUGAAUAUCAAAGCUAAAAAGUUACUUUGAACAUUUCUCUAAAGAUACGGCUUUUGCAAGAUUUAUUUCCAAAAACUAUUUUUCCUAAAAUAGGGUUUCUUGCCGAGCAAGUUUUCCAGGCUUUUAACUAAAAUUUGUAAACUCGUAUUUUGAAAUUUUUUUUUUCCUAAAGUUAGCUAUCCAAAUGUAAAGCUUAAGGAAAGAAAAGAAAUCGAAAUAAGACCUAGAAUUUUCAAAAGCUAUAGAAUUAAAAUACUAUAGCUAUCAAGACUAGUUUGAGCUAAAGGAACUUAUCGGUUUCGAAAAGUUUUAGGUGAAACACUAGAUAUUGAGUUUUUAUAUUAUAAUACUAGCUGGGAAAUAUUUUUGCUUGAUUUGAUAACAGCUACUCGAGUUCACAAAGUCGAAACGACUUGCACAGCUCCGGUUCCGUGAAUAUAAUCGAAGUAUAAGAUAUAGUGCUAAAAAAAUGGGGAGAACAAGGACAGAACAUAAUUAUGAAUCCCUUUCUCGAACACAAGGGCAUCUAUGAGGCAUUUACCCCUAUUAAGAAAUUUGAAAAUCCCGAACUAGUGGGAUUCCUCCCUUUUGAAGGGAGUUUUGAUAAAUUUGGGGAGUUGUUUUUGGUAAAAAUUCAUGAAAAUCAUUCAUAUGUAUGUCUUUUGUUUAACUAUGUUUUUGUAAAUAGUUUUGAAUCAAGUGAUUUUUGAAGACACGUCUUGUUUAACAAGUAACAUGCUAUUAAAAUUGAUCUUUAUCUUGAAAUUCAAUAAAAUGUACAAUUUUAUAUAUACUGUGUUACUUACACAUUCUUUUCAGAUGGCCAAGAAUAGAAUCCUCUGAUCCUUUAGAUAUAUCUCGAUAUCUCACGAAUGUGAAUUUGGAUUUUAAAAUGAGAGGAGUAGCGAAAUGACAUCCGAAAAUAUUUCAAAGAGACCCGAAUGGUAUAAAGAGAAACUCAAACCGAAUUGGGAUUAAGAUUAAGGAAAUAAAAAUCAAUGGUCACUUGAUAAAAAAUAGUUAAAUGCAGUCUGUCAUGGUCAAUAUUAUUAAAAGGAUUAGCUCGUGCUUACCAUAAAAUAGUCAAAUCAUGACUAUUCAGACUAGGAGACAAAGCGUUGAGGGAGAUUUUGUCGGUGGAAGAUGAGGCCAAAUGAAGAGUUUGUCCCAAAUUGACAAGAUUCUUUUAUUGUCAAAAAGGUAUUGCAGGGCGGAGCACUUAUUUUCACUGAUAUGGAUUAACAAGAGUUUCCCUUAAUCGAUUAAUUUAGAUAUAGGUAAAAUUUUACAUUAAUGAAAGUUUCCUUUCAGAAUUAAUGCAGGGAACAGAAUUAAAGUCCAGCCCUCUUUCUUUCCCAUUGAGACAUUUUAUCCCUAGUGGUCUCUUUUGAUCUUGUAGAAUGAAUGAUUUCGCUUGUCAACCUGAUGAGCAACCCUAGGGGAAGACCCUCCUAGACCCUCCCAACCUUGUAAUUAUCAGAGUUGGACCUUUCUCCCAAUGGAAAUUGAACUCGAAUUGUUCUCAUGGACUCAAGACCUCUGACACACAAAGGCAAUCAGCAACCUUAAGCAAAUAAUGCUGGAUGAAAAGACACCACGAUUAGGGAACAAGCUAAUCGAUAAAGUCAGAUUUGAAUCCUAAGCAAUGAACUCAAGAAUUCAAGAGUAAGUUCGAUUAAGAACUUGAAGGAAAAAAUCCUCACGAUUUCUGGUUGUAAUAUUCCGUCUUUUCACUCAUACAAUAGGUGCCUUUUAUAGGCUAAAACUAGGGCAAAUCCGGCCCACAUAAACCUGAAAUAGGAAUUCGGUCCGCAUAAAGAGCUAGCUCUUUAAGACUUCUCGAUAAGGCCCAAUAAGUAAUAAAAUACUCAACGACCAACAACUACUAGACUAGGCAGUCUUAAAAUAACUACCAACUAAGCUAACAAGUAUGAGAUCAUUCUUUCACUUCAAACAUACAAGUGAACAAGGUAACUUCAUGGUCCAUCAAAUCUUCAAACUUAACUUGCUCCUUGCUUGUAUGGUGAAUGAUCAAGGCUCAUAAAGCUUCCCUCACCUUCUUGGUUCUUGAUCUUGUCAUCGGACCACCAAUGUUGAUCAAAGGGUCCUUGACCCAAGGUUGAAGGUGUUGCACACCCGUAUCCACAUCAUUCCCUCCCUCCUCGAAAGGAUUCGUCCUCGAAUCGUCAAAGUCUGUAUCAAAGGCAAAUGGGGAUAGGUCAGACACAUUAAAAGAUACGCUUAUGCCAUACUCAUUUGGAAGUUCCAAUUUGUAGGCAUUGUCAUUUAUCCUUUCUAGGACACGAAAAGGUCCAUCUUCUCUUGGAUGUAACUUGGUCCGUCGAGAUGCUAGAAACCUUUCCUUCCUCAUGUGUACCCAAGCCCAAUCACCAGGUUCGAAUACAACAUGCUUUCUACCCUUAUUCGCAUGUUGUGCAUAUUGCGCAUUUUUCUUCUCAAUUUGAGCUCUAACUCUCUCAUGCAAGGUCUGAAUAGCCUCUGUCUUUUUGAUACCAUGUGCGCUUAAACACUCAUCAACAGGAAUAGGUGAUAAAUCUAGAGGGGUUAGCGGCUGAAACCCAUAAACAAUUUCAAAAGGAGAAUGAUUAGUAGAAGAAUGAGUGGUUCGAUUAUAUGCAAAUUCGGCAAUAGGCAAACAUUCUUCCCACUUUUUCAAGUUCUUUUGAACAAUGGCUCGAAGUAAAGCACCAAGGGUUCGAUUGGUUACCUCAGUCUAACCAUCCGUUUGAGGAUGACUAGAAGUAGAAAACAGCAACUUAGUUCCCAACUUUCCCCAAAGUGAUUUCCAGAAAUAGCUUAAGAAUUUCACAUCCCUAUCACUUACAAUAGUACGCGGUACCCCAUGCAAUCUAACCACGUCCUUGAAGAAUAAAUCAGCAACAUGGCGCGUAUCAUUGGUUUUCCUACAAGGGAUAAAAUGAGCGAUUUUAGAAAAUCUGUCCACUACAACAAAGAUACUAUCCAUACCUCUAGAAGAUCUUGGUAAACCAAGCACAAAAUCCAUGGAUAAGUCUGUCCAAGGAGCAUGAGGUACGGGUAGAGGAGUGUACAAUCCAUGAGAAUUACCCCUUACCUUUGCUUGCUUACACUUUAAACACUUAUCACAAAUGUUAGCAACGUCACGCCUCAUUUGAGGCCAAUAGAAGUGUUCAUGCAAAAUGUCAAGAGUUUUAUCAAUGGCAAAAUGUCCCAUCAACCCUCCGCCAUGGGCUUCUCUAACAAGUAAUUCCCUAAGUGAACAGUUGAGAAUACAUAGGCGAUUCUCUUCGAACAAGAAGCCUUCAUGCCUAUAGAACUUUUGAAAUGCAGCAUGUUCACAGGCUUGAAACAUAUUAGAAAAAUUGUCAUCAUGUGCAUACAAGUCUUUAAUGUGCUCAAAACCAAGCAACUUAGUGCUCAUGUUAGUGAUCAAGAUAUAUCUCCUAGACAAUGCAUCCGCAACGACAUUAUCUUUCCCCUUCUUAUACUUAAUGAUAUAUGGAAAGGAAUCAAUAAAUGCAAUCCAAUUCGCAUGUCUUUUAUGCAACUUACACUGACCCUUAAGGAAUUUAAUUGAUUCAUGAUCAGUAUGUAUCACAAAUUUCUUAGGCAUAAGAUAAUGCUGCCACACUUCAAGAGCACGCACAACAGCGUACAAUUCUUUAUCAUAAGUAGGGUAAUUAAGAGCUCCCCCACUCAACUUCUCACUGGAAUAUGCCAAGGGUCUACUAUUUUGAUGUAAGAUAGCCCCUAUGUCGAUUCCACUAACAUCACAUUCAACUUCAAACAUCAAAUCAAAAUUAGGCAAGGCAAGAAUAGGUGCUGAAGUCAACAAAUUCUUAAACUUAUGAAAUGACUCUUCUUGCUCCUUUUCCCAUUGAAACCCCACAUUUUUUUUAAUUAUCUCAUUCAAAGGUGCUGCAAUAGUACUAAAGUCUUUAACAAAUCUCCUAUAGAAACUUGCAAGACCAUGAAAAGACCUUACCUGAGACACAUUGGUUGGAGUCGGCCACUCCAAGAUGGCAUUUACCUUGGCGGGAUCAACACUUAUGCCAUUUGCACCAACAAUAUACCCAAGAAAGUUAACUUCAGGAGUGCAAAAGACACAUUUUUUCAUGUUAACAAAUAGCAUAUUUUCACGCAAGAUACUUAAAACAAGUCGCAAAUGUUCAACAUGCUCAUCUAAAGACUUGCUAAAGAUCAAUAUAUCAUCGAAAUUAAUGACAACAAAUUUCCCAAGAAAAUGCCUUAAAACAUGGUUCAUUAAUCUCAUGAAAGUACUUGGAGCGUUUGUUAAGCCAAAGGGCAUUACAAGCCACUCAUAAAGACCAUACUUUGUUUUAAAAGCAGUUUUUCAUUCGUCUCCUUCCUUUAUCCUUAUUUGAUGAUAACCAGAUCUUAAAUCAAUUUUAGUGAAAAUGAUUGCUCCAUGUAAUUCUUCUAACAUAUCAUCUAACCUAGGAAUAGGAUGACGAUACUUAACAGUAAUUUUAUUAAUUACACGAUAAUCUGUGCACAUUCUCCAAGUCCCUUCUUUCUUAGGCACUAGAAUAACUGGAACUGCACAAGGAGUAAGAGAUUCACGAACCUGUUCUUUUGCAAGGAGGGAAUCGACUUGUCUUUGAAUUUCCUUUGUUUCCUCCGGAUUUGCUCUAUAGGCUAGUUGAUUUGGUAGAAUUGCUCUAGGAAUAGAGUCGAUUUGGUGUUCAAUGCCUCGAAUUGGAGGUAAUCCUUUCGGUAGUUCCUCUGGAAACACAUCCUUGAAUUCUUGCAAAAGAGAGUAAAUUGCACUAGGAAGAGAAUCGGUUAGGCCUAGUGUGUAAAAAGAAAAAUAAUCAGCUUCCCUGUACAGAAGUACUAUGAGAAGAUUUUGUGCAUUCAAAGCCCUAUCUACCUCACGUACACUUGCAUAGAAGCUCUUUUUUAUUUUCACUUUCAAGCUCUCAGUCUCACUGAGUUUUUUUUCACUCGAAUUUUCUUUUUCACUCAACUCGGCCUCUACUUUCUUUUUCCCCUCAUUCUCUCUCACAUUCAACUGUUCCUUUGCCUCUCUCGGUUGCCUUUUCUCUCUCUCUUUUCUUAAAUGCAAUUAUUCUUCAUACACUUGUGUAGGUGUCAAGGGUGAAAGAGUGAUUUUGAGGUUGUCCAUAAUGAACUUAUACUUAUUGGUGAGUCCAAUAUGAUCAGCGUGUCUAUUAUACUCCUAAGGACGCCCCAACAAGAUAUGACUAGCAUGCAUAGGAAUUACAUCACAUAAAACUUGGUCCUUGUAUCGACCAAUAGAAAAAGCAAUUAAAGUCUGUUUGGUCACCUUGACUUCCCCCCCAUCAUUUAACCAAGACAAUCUAUAUGGUUUAGGGUGGUAAGUCCAGGGAAUGUGUUUUUGCUCAACAAAAUCAGCGGCUACACAAUUAGUACAAGAGUCACUAUCAAUGAUCAUAAGACAUACCUCAUCUCCAAUUUUGUAUCUCGUAUGAAAGAUAUUGGUUCGUUGGAGAUCAUCUUCUUGAGUUUGUGCAUUGAGCACUCUCAUGGUCACCAUAGUUCGAGUUACGGGGUCCUUUUCUAUCUCAACCAUGUCAUCAUCCUUCUCUUUUUCUUCCAGCGGUGACAUGUCCGCAUAUUCCUCCUCUCCUUCGCUUUGCCACAAUUUCUCUUCAUUCAUGUACAUGAUGCUUCGGUUAGGGCAUUGAGCCAUGAGGUGGGCAAUUCCCUUGCAUUUGAAGCAUGCCUUUGGCUGGUUGGUAGAUGUAUUUGCUCCUGGAAGAGUCGGCUGCGGGGUUGGUUUAGAAGAAGUUGCACUCGGAGGGAACGGUUGUUCUUUCCGCUUGUUUUCCCUCUCUCGAUUACCUUGCCUUGGCCAAACAUUGGAUGUUGGUAAUUGGUUCCUUCUCCAAGGAGUGAAAGAGGAUGUAGUGGUUCAGCCACUAGGUGUCUUUAGAGGUAAGGCUUGCUUUUCCACUUUCUCUACAUAAGACACCAUUUGUUGAUGCUCAAAAUGGUCUUGAAACUCAACCUUCUUCCUAAUUUCAGGAUUUAAUCCAUUAAGGAACCUCGCCAUGGUUGCUUCCGGAUCCUCUUGUACAUUAGCCCUUAUCAUCGCUACUUCCAUUUGUUUGUGGUACUCAUCAAUCGAGUUAGAACCUUGAGUAAGUCGUUGGAGCCGAUUGUACAAGUCCGUGGUAUAAUGGAAGGGUACAAAUUGUUUCCUCAUCACUUGCUUCAUUUCAGUCCAAGUGUCAAUCGGUUGUUCCCUAUUUCUCCUCCUCGUGGCACAUACUUGCUCCCACCAAAUAGAUGCAUAAUCUUGAAAUUCAAUAACUGCAAGUUUCAUCUUUUUCUCUUCAGAGUAAUUGUGGACUUAAAACACUUGCUCAACUCACCUAACCCAAUCCAAGUAAGUUUCAGGAUCAUUUUUCCCAUGAAAGGUAGGCAUCUUGAUCUUGAUGGAACCAAGAUUGUCAUCGGUUCUCCUAGAUUGGUCUCGACCUUCCCUCGCUCCUCUUUGGAUUUUCCUUGAUCGAAAGGAGGUGUGAUAUCCCUCAUCAUCCGUAUCAUGAUCAACACUCUGAACACUCGAAACCCUAUUGUGUGUAUCUCCGGUACCUCACAUCUCAAUGGCAGCCAAUCGGUCGAAUAAUUGUGUCAUCACCAAUUCAUGUCCCUCCGUUUGUUUUCAAAGAGCUUGGAGCACCAGUUUGAGUGACACGUCGGUCUCAGACGGCUCGGGCAUGUUCCCCUCUUGAGACAUAUUGUCCAACCUGCAAAACAAGUGUAUCCCAGUCUACCUUGCAAGCACUCGUGUAUCACUCAAGGAAACACACUCACUCUCAAUUUUCCUUCUCGAAAUUCUUAAAGCAACUCAAACUCUCAAAAAUUUCAGAAUUAAUUACCUUGUAAGCAAGUAACAAGACACAAAGCAGAAUUUUGUAAAUCUUAGAAAAAAACUCUCUACCCGAAGCUAGAAUUUUUUUUUGAGCUGCUAUUUUUGCUGAGUUUCUGGUCAGUAUUUUGGAGGUAAGUGGUGCUUUUGGGGUGCUCAAAUAAUGUAUGAACCAGUUCUCAAAUUUCAGUUAAAUCGGCUCGCAAAGACAAAACAGAAUUGAAAACCAAUCAAGAUUUAGAGACUCAAGUUUUGGGAAACCAAUCAAGAUUUGAAAACUAAUCAAGAAUUGGAAACCAAGCAAGAAUUGAAAACUCAAGAUUUGGAAAACUUGAUUUCCUUUGUGUGAGAGCCGAUUCCUUCUCUUCUUCCUUUAUUUUCGUUCUCUCUCUCUUUUUUUUUAUUUUUUUUGCUUCGGCUCUUCAAGGAACACAAAUUCAGGUCACACCAACAAGUUCAAGAAAAUGGAUGAAAAGUUAUGCAAAUUUCAAGAAGAUCCUAGUUCUUGAUUUAUUGUUCAAGAACUUUCAAAAUAAGACUUGGUGGUCCAAGAACUUCAAGAAUUUGUUCAAGAAGUUCAAGAACUUCCCCAAAUUACGUUGUGGUGUUUAGGGUUUGCAAGAACAAUAACCAAUACUCAAGAAAUAGGCAAAACAAAAUUUCAACAAUACUCAAAAGAAAAUUCCAGCAAUACUCUAGCAAGUUGGAUACUAAAACAACAUAAGGUAUAUGACUCUUUUUUUUUUAUCUUUAAACCCUAACAACCCAAACACAAGUAUAAUAGACCCAAGAACUUGGACAGAAAACACAAAAAAAGACAACACCCAUACAGAUUUUGUUUUCUCGGAUGAACAGUAACGUGAACAGUACGCUACAGUACGAUAAACAGUAUUCGGUACAGUAACGAUGAACAGUAAUCGCUAUAGUAACGAUGAACAGUAAUCGCUACAGUUUUUUUUUUUUUGACAAAAGACACAAACUAACAAGAUAUGAACAAUUUCAAUUAAAAGAGAAUUAACCUGAUGCUCUGAUUACCAAUUGAUGAGCAACCCUAGGGGAAGACCCUCCUAGACCCUCCCAACCUUGUAAUUACCAGAGUUGGACCUUUUCUCCCAAUGGAUAUUGAACUCGAAUUGUUCUCAUGGACUCAAGACCUCUGACACACAAAGGCAAUCAACAAGCUUAAGCAAAUAAUGAUGGAUGAAGAGACACCACGAUUAGGGAACAAACUAAUCGAUAAAGUCAGAUUUGAAUUCUAAGCAAUGAACUCAAGAAUUCAAGAGUAAGUUCGAUUAAGAACUUGAAAGAAAAAAUCCUCAUGAUUUCUGGUUGUAAUAUUCCGUCUUUUCACUUAUACAAUAGGUGCCUUUUAUAGGCUAAAACUAGGGCAAAUCCGGCCCACAUAAACCUGGAAUAGGAAUUCGGUCCGCAUAAAGAGCUAGCUCUUUAAGGCUUCUCGAUAAGGCCCAAUAAGUAAUAAAAUACUCAACGACUAACAACUACUAAACUAGGCAGUCUUAAAAUAACUACCAACUAAGUUAACAAGUAUGAGAUCAUUCUUUCACUUCAAACAUACAAGUGAACAAGGUAACUUCAUGGUCCAUCAAAUCUACAAACUUAGCUUGCUCCUUGCUUGUAUGGUGAAUGAUCAAGACUCGUAAAACUUCUCUCACCUUCUUGGUUCUUGAUCUUGUCAUCGGACCACCAAUGUUGAUCAAAGGGUCCUUGACCCAAGGUUGAAGGUGUUGUACACCCGUAUCCACAUCACAACCCCUGAAAAUCGCAAACCCUACAUUGGGGCAAAUUUAGUUUUGAAAAAAAAAAGAAAAAAAAUCCCACACUGGAACAAAUUUAAUUUUUAAAGGAAGGCCGAAAGAAAAGAAAAUAAACAAAAGAAAACCUCAAUUAAAAAUAAACUUGAGCAAAUUUUGAAAAAUUUCAAAAGAUGAAUAGAAUGACAGAAGACAAAAAAAAAAGAAAAAAUGAAAGAAAAGAGAACUUUAGUUGAGAAUAAACUAGUGUAAGUUUUGAUUUAACCUUAAAAUAAGGUUGGCACAAUAAUGCGAUUUUAGAUCAUUUAAACCACUUUUGAAAUCCGCCUUCAAACCUUAACUUUUUUAAGCGCCCCACCAGACCCCAUUACAAAAGUCGAAAGUUCUGACUUCUGUUCUUUGCCAUAUCUUUGUCAAGAAAUUUUCUAAUUAACUGGUACAUGAUGUUCAUAUACUGAUGCGAGAAAAAUUUUUAGAUAUGUUUCUGAAUUGAUUAGGUUUGAGAUUGACACUACUCAUCAGGUGAAAAUUCACAAGGACACCUUCAAAAAGGAAAAGAGAUCAUUAUAAAAAAAUAACAAAAAAGGGAAAAAGAAGAAGAAAGAAAAUAAAAGUCAAGAAAAAAAAAGAGAAGAGAGAAAGAAGAAGGAAAGAAAAUAAAAAGGUGGGGGUAAUCUUAGUGCAAACCCGAAAGGGCACUAAGAUAUGGUUUCCCAAGGAAAGCAAAGAAUGUAAUAACUGGCAAUUCAGUUCAUUUGGAUUCCUAUUCACAUUGAAAUUUUUCUGCCAGCAUUGAAUUCCCGACGGACGAUAUCUAAAAGGUCAAACAGGACAAUUUGUUUGAGGUCAAAGUAUUUUGGUUAUCAAAUAUAGAUUGUUGAGUUUAUGAUUCAUCACUCUAAGAUUAUUUUUCCUUCAAUACAAGUUGAUGGUUAUUUUUGGCAUUACAUUGACUUUUAUUAUUUUGUAUAAAAGAAAAUUUUUAGGUGUUGUAGGGUUUCAUUUGUCUCAUUGGAUUUUAUCAAAUAACAAUCUCCACGGUUUAUCGAAAGUGCAUAUGUAUAAAUUUUCAUAUUGAGUUAGCAUUGGAAGCUAAGACAGCCUGGAUAUGAUUUGCAGCACAAGGCUGGAUUUUGCAGCAUCGAGGACAAAACAUUAAAAUAUUCAUGUUUACACGUUUCUUAAAAGCUAGACAGGUCGAAUUGUGGUGACAUUAUUUGUUCUUUCUUUUGCAGGUCCUUACGUGUUUUAAAUAACAAAAUUUGGGCAAAUUUUUUAUAUAAUCGUGGAAUGUCGUUCAAGAAUUGAAUAUUUAUGGUUCAGACCGAGGAAGAGGUGUGAAUGAAAUUCUUAAGGAGGAACAAAAAUGCCAUAAUGCAAAGUGAAUGAUCGGUUGCACAACAAUUGGUUGAAACUGGGGCAAAUUUUUCAAAAAAAUUCUCCAAGUGAGUAUUCAAAAACUUUUUCAUGCACUAACGCUUCUUUCUUGGCAAUUUAAUUUCCUGUUGGUGAGUCUCAGCGUCUGCCACACACCCUUCUACCCUCUUUCUUAGCAAUUUAAUUUCCUGUUAGUGAGUCUCAACUUCCGCCGCGCACCCUUUUACCCUCUUCUUGGCAAUGUAAUUACCUAUUGGUGAGUCUCAGCGUCCACCGCGCACCUUUCUACCUUCUUCUUAGCAAUGUAAUUUCCUGUUGGUGAGUCUCAGCGUCCGCCACAUGCCCUUCUACCUCCCUUCUAUCCCAUUUCUUGGAGCGUAAUCGCGUCUCUCCGCACAUAUUUUUCUAAUUAUGUCAAUUUAAUUUGCUUGACCGUUUUGACUAAAAAUUGUGCUUUCUCAUGAUUAGAAGUUCUGAGAGUUCAGACUCCUUCGAUUCUGCAAAGAUCAUAAGUGGUCAAUGCACUUGUUUCAUUAUUGUUCACUGGUAUUUGAACUACAUUUGACCUGAUUCCCAUAACGGGAUACGUAGGUAACUUUACACGAGUUCGGUCGUGUCUCUUGUAAUAUUAUUGCAUUAUUCUCGCCCAAUAAUUUUAGCUAAGUGUUGGUUUGUUAUUUUAGCUUAGGUGCAGUUAGAAGAGACAAAUAAGUAUUUUGACGUCUACGUUUUUGUCUCUAAUUUCUUUGAAACUCAGACAAAGAGGGGCAAGUUGUAGAUACCAAAAUUUCAAUGCUAUUUAAUUUAAUUUAAUUUUAUUUUAUUUUCAUUAAUCAAAAAUUGCAAAGUGAUAGUUAGCUAUUUUUAUUGAAUUAGGGUUCAUUUUCUAUUAAAUAAUUUUCGAAAAAAGAAAAGUCUCACAAAAAUUUGUUUUUAAGUUUUUCAAAUUCAAUUUCUUCCAAAUAAAGUGGAAAUUUACAAAGCAAUUUCAAUUAGUAGUCUAACAUUUUAUUUACCCUAAAUUUAUUUUUAAAAAAAUAAAAAGAAAAACAAAAAUAGGUGGAAUGCAUGUAAUAUGGUUAGGUGGAGUGCAUGUAAAUGAUCCAUGUGAUUUUGACAUUUUGCACAUCACAACAUUCAAAGGAUAGGUGGCAAGACAGGUGGAAGAUGGAGAAAGAUCUGGAAACAAAAGGGAAAAAUCAGGAAAACAAGGCAAAAGGGAGCGAGCAAGAGAAAGCAAAGGGAAGAAAAAAGAAGGAGAAAGGAAAAAAAAGAAGAGGGUUUUCGCUGAGAAAGAAAGAAAAGGGAGAAAGAAAGAAAAACUGAGGAGGGAAACAAGGGAACCUAGGGAAAAUCUGGGAGAGAGGUUCAGGCCAAACAAGAGAGAAUAGGAAGAAAGGAAAAAAGAAGAAAAAGAGAAGAAGGAAGAGAAGGCUUCGAGCGAGGGGAGUUUUGGGAAGAAAGGGUGGAGGAGGGGAAUCUGCUGGAGCAAGAAAGGAAGAGAGAAACUGGGAGGAAAAGAAGAAAAAGGGUUUCGGGAAAAGAGAGGAAAAAGAGAAGAAAGGAAAUAAAAAGGAGAAAACCAGAAAAAGAGAGGAAAAAGGGAGGAAGUUUGGGGAGGAUUAGGGAGAAAAACAGAAAGGCAAACGAAAGGAAAAGAAAGACAAACAAAGAGAAAAGAGGGAAGAGAGAAUUUCUGCAAAUUUUUUUUCAGAAUCAGGUUGGAUUUUCAUCACCUUGAGAUGCAAUUUUCACAAUUGAAUCGAUCUCUUCUUGGAUGUUUUAAGCAAUCUAGGAUAUUGAUGAAGUGAGGGGAGCAAUUUUUAUUUAGACAUUGUGGAGAAAAAGCGUCAGGAAAGCCUCCAAAUUUGCCUUCCAAAGUCGUGGAUCGGUUUGACUGAUGCAUCUACAAAUCUGCAAAAAUUCUUCAAAAAGUGUCUCUGUUCGUUCCUUUGGCUCUCAUCACAUCUAGGAUUCAUCUUUAGGUAAAUCUUACGCGUUUUCCUCAUUCAUUCCAGUUCACAUGCAAAGAUUAAACUCAUCAAAAAGGAAUUUUUCUUUAGAUUAUUGCCUCGCAAGUCCAUAGUGUUGGUUGUAUGAUUUGGUUGGGUUUGAUGCAUCUUAUUUGACUAACAAAUAAUGAGGUUUAGAAGUUGAUGAGAAACUUAUCUAUCUUGAAUGUGUGUCCUUGUUGCUUUUGCACGUCUUGUGGCUCAUAAUCAAAGCUUUGUUUUGAGAAUUUUUGUUGGAAACUUAUGAAUAAAAAAGCCGUCAGCUUUCUUGCUUUCUUUCCUCCGUGAAACUGAAUGGAUGUGAUCCAUGGGUUGUGGGUUCUUUUCCUAGUAUCUUGUUUGUUUUUCAUGAUUUGGGUUUUAGGCUGUUUUCUUGAAGGGUUGGGUUUGAAGUUUUAGCCAAUGUUCAUCUCACUUUGCUGCAUUUUUAUGUCCAGUUACCUUGUUAGAUUUCUGGGGAUAGAUAAUUGUGUUUAGGUGAUGUUAAUAACGAUGGGGUAGAAGUUCUUGCAUUUGGUUUUAGUUGUCGAAUUAGUAGACGUUGCUUGAGUUAUUUCGCACAAACAUAUCUAGGCGAAUGAGGAAAGAUUGCUGAAGUCUCAAAGCAACGAAAGUUGCAGAAAGCUUCUUCGUAAGAUUGCAUGAAAAUUUCAGAAAAAUUGCAUUUUAGACCUUCAAGUCUUAAGUAAUGCUAUGGGCUAAGAAUAUGGAAAACUCAAUCAAUUUUACCCUUUUUGAAAUUCAAUCAAUCCUUUUAUAUUUUAACCAUGUUUUAGACCUAUUGCUGCUAUGGCCCAAGAAUAUGGAAAACUCAAUCAUUAAUUUGCAUUUUGUUUGAUAAAGUUGAAUCAACUACUUGGUUUGAAUUAACUAUUAAUUUGCAUUUUGUUUGAAUUAACUAUUUGUUUAGUUUAAAUGGCAUUUAAUUUGAAAAUUUUAGGAACCUUGAGUUGACUUCAAAUGAUUUGUUUUGUGUUUAUCAAAGAAAUUGGUACCUUGACCAUUUCCUUUGUUUUGAGGAUAAAAAAGAGAAUUUUCAUUUUAUUAGGUCACCAAUUCAAGGGAGGUACACUCUACUGCUUAUUUUUUAUUUUAAUUGAUCCUAUGAGAAUUUAUGUGUGUAAUUGCAUGUUUUUAUGUUUUUUAUUAUUUAUUUUGUUUUGUUUAUUUAUUCACUUUAUUUGUUUCUUUUAAUUUCAUAUAUUCAUUUUAAUUUAAUUUUUGAUUAUUUAAGAGUCAAUUAAAUGUUAAAUUGUAAUAGUUAGAUUAUUAUUUUAUUUUGUUUCGUUCUUUCCCUCUUAGAUUGUAGUUAGGGUCCCCAAAUGUAAUAGUUAGGCCUUUAUUUGCUCUUAUUUGCUUUGUAUGUGCUUGCAUGUUUACGUGUUUACUCACUUUCUUAGGGUUUUUGCAUCUAUAUAUCAUGCUCAUGUGCUAUGUGCUCUAUGUGAUCUAUGUGUUUACUUGCUUUUAUCAUAUUUUAUAUGAUUUAUUAAUUAUAAUAAAUGCAUGAUAUCACCACACUAGUCCAAUGCUAGUUGUGGGUCUUUAUUCCAAUUUCUCACUAGUCUACUGCUAGUUAGAGCUUAUAGACAUGUGUUAGUCUAACACUAGAUCCUUAGGAACCGUUCACGCAUUAGAUCAUGUUUGUGCGGUAAAAUCACUACAUUUCAUGCACAUUUUCUACUUUUAGGAUCCUUACCAUUUUGUAUGAUAUUUUCCUUAUAUAUAUCCUUUAUCCCUAUAUGUAAAAUAUGACAUUUAGACGUGCAUUUCAUUUAAGAAAAUUAGAACUAGGAUAUUUUUUUUUUGGCUAACUCCGUCCAUGAGGGGGGGAUGCCACCCCCGCUUUUAUUCAUAAAUCACAAAAUACAAUGUUUCUUGCAUUAAGGGGUUCGCACCCUCCUAACAGAAGGAGCUCUCAUGCUAUCUAGGCUAAUUCCUCCACGAGCCAGCCUCAGCCAUUCAUUCCAAUGCUCAUAGAGCUUAACAACAUGGUGGGGGUGUGCUACCUCAACAUUAGCCAGAAUAUCUGUCACAUUAUUUGCCUUUCUGAAACAAUGGACAAGUCUCGACGGAUCUCCUGCCAGCUUCCAUAUUUGCUGGACCUCCCAGCGGAUAUGCCAAUGACAGUGAAGCUGGAGUUGAAGAAUCCCCACCAAAACUAGAAAAUCCAGUUGAAUGCUAACAUUCAUGAACCCCUUUUGAGCAUAUAUCUGAAGCCCCGUUAGAAGUGCCAGCGUUUCUGCCUGGACGCUAGAUGUCACUCCAAAAAAAGCCGAGAACCCUACCAUGGGGUGUCCCGAUGGAUCCCGUAGCACUCCUCCGCCACCACAUGGCCCAGGAUUACCCUUGGAGCAGCCAUCCGUGUUCAGGGUAAGUGCUCCCAUUGCAGCUGGCUCCCAACAAACAAGUUUGAGCUCGAAACGCCGCUCCGACUGAGACGACCAAUCACACAACUGCAAGAAUGAUCGAGCCCCAACAUGUUGCUUGAACUGCCCUUCAAGAAGUAAUUUGGUCUCCAAAAAAAUAUCUUGGCAAAUAGAAGGAGGAUGCAGUUGAAUGCCCUCAAAAACUGCUCUAUUCCUAGCCUUCCAAAUGUGCCAACAAAGUAUGCUCGGGAGAGUAUGAUUGAUAAGUGGAUAUUUAACGUACAUUUUGUAUGAAUUUGGCAUUAAUUUUUGGUAUGAUCUGAGAAGAUUAAGCCAUAUUUGAACUCUUUUGGUGAUAAUUGCUUAAAUAUUGAUUAAGGUUUCAAAAAUUGAUAAAUGAGUGAAUUAAUGCAUUAAUUUUGUGAAAUUGUGAAGGUAAUUGAUGUAUGAAAUUCAUGCACAUCCAGAGGACAAAGUAUACAAGAAAUUGGGAGCAAAAAUGUAGAAAAAAAGGAAGAAGUGAAAAACUGGAAAAAUGUUCAACACGGAUCCGAUCUCGGAUCCGUGUGAAUAAGAGGGAUCCGACCCCUCGUCUGUACUUCUGGCGGAGCGCAUCCGAGGUCAGGACGAUCCGACCUCGGAUCCAUUAUGAAAUCCCUCGGAUCCCUCGGAUCCGAGCUCGGAUCCAUUUUCACUCCUCGGAUCCGAGACUCGGAUCUGUCUCUCUCCUCAGCAAGUGUCACAGCUGUUUUUCUUUACCUUUUUCACAACUUUCCACCUAUUUUGAGGGCCAGAAAUCGGUGGCACAUUCUUCUGCAACAAAAGAGAAGACCAAAUGAGUAUGGACAAAAGGAAAUAUCAUAUCUUUGACUUCUUUUUACAAAAUCUGAGUGGAGGAAAUUAUGAAGUGAGAGGAAUGGAAUUUCUUCCACCUUUUAUGCAGAAACACAGAGGAGAAGCCUGGAAUACCAUACGUAGCUAGUUUUCUUUCUUGUAUCUAAUUUUCUCUCUAGAUAGGAGUUCUUGGAGAAGUACUUGGAGAGUUUCACUUAUAAUCAUAUUGUGCAAGAACAUAGCAGGAAUUGGAGAGUUUCACCUUCAAUUGGCUAAGCUUUCUUUUAUCUUUCUUAUACUUGUACUUUAUGAGGUUUUGCAUUAAUAAACUUGUGAGUUUGAUUGUUAAAUCAUUCAUGAGUAGCUAAACUCCUUCAUCUAGGGAGUAGAUGAAACUUAUGGCUAAAUAAUACUAAUUGAAUGUGAUCUACACUUGUUAUAUCUUGUAUUAAUUUGUCUACUUGUGUAGCUGUGAUUACUUGUUAUUGAUUGAUCACCAAUAGCAUGUUUAUAGUGUUAUUAUUCAAUGAGAAUUGGUAAUAACAAUUGAAACACAUGAGUAGAGCUUGAGUUGUAUGUUCAUGAAAAUAGAGAUACACUUAGGUGGAUUAGUGAGCAUUUCAUGAAAUAAAACGGAGUAGUAGUAGUAUUUCACCAUGAAAAUAGGGAAAUCUAUAUUGCUCUAGGCCAUUUCAUCAUGAAAAUGAGACUUGGUAAUCUUGGAAAUAAAUCUCUGGUUAAGCAAGAAUAAUAGCAAGAAGUAAAUCCAUUCAUUUGUGUAGUUUAUGCCAUAAGUGGAAUCUACAUCCCUAGAAUCUUCCUUAAGUGAAAUUUAUCUAUUCGCAUUCAGCAUUUGUUAAACUAGAUUUGUAUAUCAGAUUUGUAGAUUACAGCAUUAGAUUUUCUCUGCUCAAAUUAAUUGUAAGUCUAAAUAAUAGAGAGAACAAGGGCUUAGUAAUUGUUUAAAUUGCUCCUCGUGGGAUCGACCCGAUACACAUUUUGUACUACAAUUGCAACCUGUAUACUUGCAGUCCAACGGGUGUCAAAUCGGAAUUAAACUUGCAUUGAUACAAAAAUCCCGUCAAGUUUUUGGCGCCGUUGCCGGGGAGCGGCAAUAUUAGGGCCUAAUCAUCUCUAUUAAUUUAGAUAUUUUUUAGUGUUUUUUUUUAUUUGUUGAAUUAAAACUGAAAAAUUUCUCUUGUUUUUGUUUGUAGUGUAUGCACCGAUCAAAUCGAGAAGUUGCACAUUUCGAUCUUGAAAUUGAAAGAACAUUACACAGAAAAAGGAGGAGUACAUCACAUCAAGAGGAACAAGAGGUUUGGCAGCCAAUAGAAGAUAUUCUGAUAGAAUUACAAUUUGAAGAAGACAUGGCAGAAAAUGAAGCAAAUAGGCGAGUUCUACGAGAUUAUGCUCUACCGGGAACACAAGGAUCUCAAACGAGCAUAGCAAGGGCUACGGUAAAUGCUAACAAUUUUGAGAUUAAACCAUCACUUAUCCAAAUGGUUCAACAAUCUCAAUUUGGAGGUAAUGCAGUAGAAGAUCCUAAUACACACUUAGCUACAUUCUUGGAAAUUUGUGAUACAAUUAAAAUGAAUGGAGUUAGUGAUGAUGCUAUAAGGCUAAGAUUGUUCCCAUUUUCAUUGAGAGAUAAGGCCAAACUUUGGCUACACUCUCAUGCUCCUAAUACUUUCACCGGAUGGGAUGAUUUAUCAAGAGCAUUCUUAAAUAAGUAUUUUCCACCAGGUAAGACUGCUAAGCUAAGAAUAGAUAUCACUAGUUUUAGCCAAAUGGAAGGUGAAUCAUUAUAUGAGGCAUGGGAAAGGUUUAGAGAUUUGCUUCGGAAAUGUCCACAUCAUGGACUGCCGGAGUGGUUAAUCAUACAAACCUUUUAUAAUGGUUUAUCUUUCUCCACUAAAACUAUUAUUGAUGCAGCCGCAGGUGGAGCUUUAAUGGGUAAAUCACCCCAAGAAGCUCAGAAUUUGAUAGAAGAAAUGGCCGCAAAUAACUACCAAUGGGCCAAUGAAAGAGGUAAUACAAGACGUCACGCAGGUAUGAUAGAAAUGGACACUCUCAAUAUGCUGAGUGCUCAAAUGAAUAAUGUGAUGAAGUUGCUAAAUAAACAAGGUGGAGUUGGUCCAAGUUCAUCUAAUGCACAUGCAGCAUGUUGUUCUAUAUGUGGAGGUGAACAUGAUAUUAAUGAGUGUGUUGAUUCUGAGCAGGUACAAUUUGUCAAUAAUUACAACCGAAAUGCUCCAAAUAAUCCCUACUCGAAUACUUACAAUCCGGGGUGGAGAAAUCAUCCAAACUUUGGAUGGAAAGAUCAAGGCAAUCAACAAAGGCCAACCAAUCCGCCGGGAUUUCAACCAAGGCAACCACAGGCUGAAACUAAACCAAGUUGGGAGAUCGCGGUGGAAAAACUUGCUAAGGUGACUUCGGAUAGAUUCGAGCGAGUUGAGGGGCGGUUGGACCAAUUAGCUGGGAUGUACAGAAACUUGGAGGUUCAAAUUGGUCAAAUUGCCAAUGUGAUCAACAAUAGAAACCCUGGUGAAUUACCAAGUAAAACCGAAGUGAAUCCGAGAGAGCAUGUCAAUGCAAUCAUUCUUAGAAGCGGUAAAACGGUUGAGGGAUUCGAUUUUGAAAAUUCAGGUGGUGAAAAAGACAAGAAGCAAGCAAUUGAAGGGGAGCAAGAAAGUCAAAAUGAUCAUGUUAUCAUUGAUAUUGAUGCACUUCAUCCCAAAUUAAAUUCUAAUGUGAUACCUUUUCCUCACAGGUUGAAGAAAGAUGGACAGGAUCGGGAGUUUGAAAAGUUCUUCAAAAUGUUUAAACAAUUGCACAUUAACAUUCCUUUCAUUGAUGCUAUAACACAGAUUCCCUCUUAUGCACGUUUCUUGAAAGACAUCAUGUCAAAGAAGAGGAAAAUUGUAGAUAAUGAGAUGAUAGCAUUAACGGAAGAGUGUAGUGCAUUGAUUAAGAAUAAACUCCCUCCUAAAUUGAAAGAUCCGGGAAGUUUUUCUAUUCCUUGCACUAUUGGUCAAUUGCAUUUUUCUAAUGCUUUAUGUGAUUUAGGUGCAAGUGUGUCACUUAUGCCGUUAUCGGUUGCCCGGAGAUUGGGACUUCAAGAGCUAAAAGCUACCAAUAUUACAUUGCAAUUGGCGGAUCGGUCAAUCACACGUCCCAUGGGUAUUUUGGAAAAUGUGCUCAUAAAGGUAAGACAAUCUAUAAUACCUGUGGAUUUUGUUGUCUUAGAUAUUGAAGAAGAUGUGAGAAUGCCAAUUAUUCUAGGACGACCGUUUUAGCCACUGCACGAACUAUAAUUGAUGUAGAAAAUGGUAAGCUUAUAUUACGGGUUAAUGGUGAGGAAUUGGAAUUCAAUUUGGAUAAUAAAGAAGGGAAUAUAGAGCCUACUGCUCUUGUUUCUAAUAUGCCAUAUGAUGAAAAGGUUAACCAAGAAAGGACCGAAGAAGUUAAAUUUAUAAAUGUCCUUGGUACUAACUUUCAUGGUGUAGGAACAAAGGAGGAGAAGAUAAGGAUGGAAGUUGGCUUAAUAAAUUCGCCAUUCCAUGAAGAAAAUGGUGAAAAGUUGAGCCAAUUCAGAAAAGACAAGCAAAAUCCACUCCAAGGUGAAGUUGAGCCUCUCUAUGACAAGUCUAAUAUUUCUCCUUGGCAUUUGAGGAAAUUGGACUAUGAAGAUCAAUGCAUGGUUCACCACAUGGUGGAUUGGCUCGGGAGUUUCAACCCAUGGGGAGAAAAUCUCUCUCUAAUGCUCUAAAGUGAUUCAACUUUUUCAGUCGAGCCAACGACUAUAAACAAAAGCGCUAAUUGGGAGGCAACCCAAUAAUAAUUGUGUAUUUGUGUGUUUUUAUGUGUUUCUUACAUUUUGGUGGGAUUUAAUUAACUAAUUAGAUGUAUUUCACUUGUUUGUAGGAGAUACGGGAGUUUUAUCAUCCAUUUUGGAGGUGCACUUGAAGAACAUGUUGGCAGGGAGUUUUUCUUACCAGCUUGUGUUUUAAGUGCUUAAAAUUCCCAUGCAUAUACAUACAUUGUGCAUUUCAAGUAUAUUUAAGUGAGUUUUGGUGAUAUCAUGGUUAUAAAGGCUCAUGGACUCAUUUGAUAUACAUUUAAUGCCCAAAACUGCCAUUUUAGUGUAAAAAUGAUCAAAGAACCUCACCCCUCGAUUUUCAAUGUAGAUAUGUUUGUUGUGUUUUGAGAGGUUGGAUAUUAUGUUUAUGGUAUAUUACAUGUGCAUGGGACGUUGGAAUUGAGAAAAGGGAUGUCCAAUGUGUAAUUUGGAAUUGGCCGAAAAAGGGAGAAAAAGUUUAGAAAAAUUGCAGUUUCUGCAAUUAGUGCAGAGAAAUACAGAUCCGAGCUCGGAUCCUAAAAAGCCAGACAGAUCCGACCUCGGAUUUAUAGAUCCGAGCUCGGAUCGUUUCCAACCCAGAUAGAUCCGAGGGUUCGUCUGUGUUUCUGUUGAGACUGAUCCGAGCCCUGUCGGAUCCGAUGCCUUCCAGAACGGAUCCGACCUCGGAUCCUUUCGCGAUAAGAAUGGAAACGAGGCCUCGGUUCCUCAUUUUCCAGAUUUCUUUUUUCUCUCUAUCGGAAACCCUAUCCCCUUUCCUCCAAUCUUCCAUUUCAUCCAUAAAAUUCCCAAUUUUUCACAAUAAAAACCUUCCCUAACCUUUUGUGAGCAUUAACCCUCAACAAUUUGGAAUCGAAAACAUCAAAUUGAGGGGUUUUGAUCUUCAAGACGUGAAAUAGGGCCAAACUGAAAUCUUGCAAUUUGAGGACAAAUUUGGGCUUGUUUGUCUUCCAUUUUUGCAUCAUUAUCAUCCUCCAUCAUCACUCUACACAUUUGAGGUAACAAUUUGCAAUUUUCUUUGAGUUUACAUAAUCUCUAAUUUUGCAUUUUUCUAUUUCUUAGGUAUAUUGUGAUAAAUUUGUAUUUGUUAGAACUUCUUGAUACAAUUGUGCUACAUUGCACUUAAAUAAAUUGUUACAACUAGUUUUAUGUUUAUUUUUGAGAAAAAUUGUGGAUUUGGUGAUAAUUUUUGACAUUUCUUUCUCAAUUUUUGGGCUUGAGUAUUUUAUUGACUUAGAAUUGUGAAUUUUACUAUAUGAACUUAUUUCGAGAGGUAUAAGUCACUAACAUACCAAUUGAACAUGAUAUGCUCUCAUUAGAACAAUAGCCUAUGGGAUAAAAGAGUGUGUCCCUGAUCAAGUUGACCACAUUGAACCACUUUUACUUAAGAUAAUUAGCAUUUGUUUGGAUGAAUUGGAACUCAUAUGUAUGUACAUUGAGUGUUAUAAAUGGGAAUGGAGAUAUUCUCAAGUGUUUGUGUGUUUAUGGAUAUAAUUUUCAAUUAUUUGCACUUAAUAUGCAUGAAAUGGUUUCCUUAUUGGUAAUAUCCUCUUUACAUGUGGGAAUUGGAUUUGAGAAGUGUUAGGAAGUUUAUUUGUUUAAAUUUUGGUACAGUUUGGCAGGGAGUUUAGCCCUUUUUCAAGGGGAAACUCUGCCGAAAUUUUUUUAAAUUCCUAGUUAACAUGUAUGAGCAAGUUUCUAUCAUUUCUAAUACAUACUCAUCUUGUUUAUAGGUGUUAUGGCUCGUACAAGGAGGGAUCGUAUUCGUACUCCUACACCAUCGUCAAGUGAAGAACAUACACCUUCUGUGCAUGAGGAGUCGCCUGAGGAAGAAUCUCCUUCGCCUGAGUCACCACCUCGCUCUCGUCGAAAGACCGCAUCCACUAGCCGUGACGAGCCACUUCCUGACUAUGAUACCACUCGUUUCACCUCGCUCGAGAAUCAACAGUGGUACGAGGCUGGUUUGGACAAAGAGAUUAUCGUUGAAAAAUAUUUGGCACCGGAGGUGGAUGCACACUACCACAUCUCCACGGCAUUUAAACGACUCGGAUGGGAGACUAUACUAAAUUUGCCAAAACAUUACUAUCCCAAUCUGGUCCGGGAAUUCUACGCCAAUGUAGAAAAUAAACAAAGUCACAGUGGCAACCUCAUCGUCUCGUGGGUUCGAGGAAGAAGAGUGGCUCUCAAUCGCGAUACACUGAGACAAUUCGUCAAAUUCAAAGAUGAAGGCGAAGAUGUCAAAUUGACCAAGGAGUUCAAAGCUCGAGACCCUUGGGAAGUGGGAGAGGCCGUGGGACGACUAAAGGGUCAAUACCGUGAGCGAGGAAGUUCGAAAAAACUCACAGUAUAUGCUGACUCCUUCGAGCAUCGGUACCACCUGAUUUUCUACCUUUUUGCCUUCAAUGUGGUGCCGAAAAAGAGUGGCAAACGAGAGAUCCGAAAUAGCGAUCUCUAUUUUCUGGAUAAAAUGAUACAUGGAGUGGGUAGGCAGUUGACUGGUAUUCCUCUACCCAGCAUUAUCAUCAGCUAUAUGCGAACCACAGCUCGUAUGAGGGCCGGCGAGACUUGUUUUGGAUUUCCUCGGCUGCUAUCCCUCAUCUUUGAGAAGCUCAAGAUUCCCAUUGGAACCGAGAGAGCUGUGGUAACUAGGUCGGCCGAGGAGGUAAAUGAUUCGUUACUCAAAUCCUUGGAUAUUUCUACUGAUUUUGGAGCUACUUUGGUCCGGGACACAGGAGAAGCAUCGACUUCCACUCAGCCUCCGCCCCACACUGAACCACAAGCGGAAACUCAAGAGACGGAGGCACAGCAGCCUCUUCCUCCUCCGGUUCCACGACCACCUCCUCAACCACGCUCCAAGUGGCAAGAGCUUCUCAAUGCUAUUUGCUGUAUGGAGACCCGAGUCGUCGAGCGCAUUGACCAGACGGAACGGAUGAUGACUGAGCAACUCGACCGACAUGAUCGCCGCCUUCGUGCGAUCGAGGAUCAUUUCCAUAUCCGACGGUCCCCUACACCGACACCUCAUCAGGAGGAGGGCCAUAUUGGUACCUCACAGGGUCCUCAUGGAGCCGAGGAGGCAGUAGACCCUCGUUCCGAGCAGCCAUGACGCUACUUAGCGGAUUUGAUCUUUUAUGUCUUUAUUUAUUUUUCUUUUCUUUUGUUAAGACAACCUUGUAGAUUUUAUUUUUCUUUUAGUUGAAUCAUCUUGUGCUACUUAUGGUAUUUGGUACCUUUGUUGUCUCAUUUUGGACAGAAAAAGGAUGAUCGUGAUGAUUAAAGGCUUCAAAUUGCAUCACCACCUAUUUGAGGGAAGUUUCAGUUCUUUUACCUUCCUCUACAAUGAGGACAUUGUAGAUUUUAAGUGUGGGGGAGGGAUUACUUAUCUUAUGGGUGAUUGUGUGUUGAAAUGCAUGAUUUUAGUUGUUUAUGGCUUAAAAAUGUUGGAAUUAUACGUGGAGAUAGUCAUGAGGAUAAUUUUUGUGAAAAUUGAGGUUGUUGGCAGGGAGUUUCAUCCAUUUUUAUGGGGAAACUCUGUCAAAAUUUUUCUAAAAUAUUUUCCAGUAUUUCAUUGCAAUUCUUCCAUAAAAAUGGCCAAAAUGUUAAAAUUUUAAGUGUCUAAUUCUUCCAUUGGAUAAAAUGUUAUGUGUAUUUUGGAAAAGUUUAGUUCUUAUUUGGCCUGGAAUGAAUUAUUAUGCAAUUAGGAUAUUUACAUUUUAGAAAGUAUAUUUUGUUAAAUAAGAAAAAUUAUGCUUAGAAUUUUGCAAAAUUAAUGAGAUUUAUCAUUUUUACCUAAUUUUAUAAGUAAGUGAUUGAUAUAGUCAAAGACAAGGCCAAAUUCUUCCUUUAAUUAUAUUUAGAGGGAAAAAGAAAUUAUAUGUUAAAAAAAAAGAAUAAUAUUAUUAUUUUUCUACUCCAAUGAUUCACAUACUGAGUAACCGGGGGUUGGCAUUUACAAAUGUCGACAUUCGCGUAAAAAAGUAUUGGAAUUAAGAGUAUGCUUAGCAAUUUAAAUGAGUGAAAUGUUGAGUAACCGGGAAUUUUCACCUAAAAGUGUUGAUUUUCGCGUAAAAAGACAUUUUCAUUAUUUAAAUGAGAAGAAAUGUGAAUAAAUCCCUCUAAUUUGUUAAGUUUUGGGAUGAGGAAGGCCAUAAAUUUGACUAUGUGAUUUACUUAUUUGUGGAAUUAGGAUAGAAUGAGAGAAUUGAUUUGAAUUUAUCAAAAUAUAGGCAUAAUUAUUUUUAUUUAAUUGAAUAUUAUGGGUAUUUAGUGUAAUCUGAGAAAUGGCAUAAUAAUUGGUUUCUAGGUUUUUGAGGAAUUAAAUUUGACAAGAGUACGCAUAUUGUUUUCUCUAUCUCUAUUGAAUAUUUGAAGUAAGUUUUGUGUAAAUUUGCUUGAGGACAAGCAAUGAUUCAAGUGUGGGGGAAUUUGAUAAGUGAAUAUUUAACGUACAUUUUGUAUGAAUUUGGCAUUAAUUUUUGGUAUGAUCUGAGAAGAUUAAGCCAUAUUUGAACUCUUUUGGUGAUAAUUGAUUAAAUAUUGAUUAAGGUUUCAAAAAUUGAUAAAUGAAUGAAUUAAUGCGUUAAUUUUGUGAAAUUGUGAAGGUAAUUGAUGUAUGAAAUUCAUGCACAUCCAGAGGACAAAGUAUACAAGAAAUUGGGAGCAAAAAUGUAGAAAAAAAGGAAGAAGUGAAAAACUGGAAAAAUGUUCAACACGGAUCCGAGCUCGGAUCCGUGUGAAUAAGAGGGAUCCGACCCCUCGUCUGUACUUCUGGCGGAGCGCAUCCGAGGUCAGGACGAUCCGACCUCGGAUCCAUUAUGAAAUCCCUCGGAUCCAUUUUCACUCCUCGGAUCCGAGACUCGGAUCUGUCUCUCUCCUCAGCAAGUGCCACAGCUGUUUUUCUUUACCUUUUUCACAACUUUCCACCUAUUUUGAGGGCCAGAAAUCGGUGGCACAUGCUUCUGCAACAAAAGAGAAGACCAAAUGAGUAUGGACAAAAGGAAAUAUCAUAUCUUUGACUUCUUUUUACAAAAUCUGAGUGGAGGAAAUUAUGAAGUGAGAGGAAUGGAAUUUCUUCCACCUUUUAUGCAGAAACACAGAGGAGAAGCCUGGAAUACCAUACGUAGCUAGUUUUCUUUCUUGUAUCUAGUUUUCUCUCUAGAUAGGAGUUCUUGGAGAAGUACUUGGAGAGUUUCACUUAUAAUCAUAUUGUGCAAGAACAUAGCAGGAAUUGGAGAGUUUCACCUUCAAUUGGCUAAGCUUUCUUUUAUCUUUCUUAUACUUGUACUUUAUGAGGUUUUGCAUUAAUAAACUUGUGAGUUUGAUUGUUAAGUCAUUCAUGAGUAGCUAAACUCCUUCAUCUAGGGAGUAGAUGAAACUUAUGGCUAAAUAAUACUAAUUGAAUGUGAUCUACACUUGUUAUAUCUUGUAUUAACUUGUCUACUUAUGUAGCUGUGAUUACUUGUUAUUGAUUGAUCACCAAUAGCAUGUUUAUAGUGUUAUUAUUCAAUGAGAAUUGGUAAUAACAAUUGAAACACAUGAGUAGAGCUUGAAUUGUAUGUUCAUGAAAAUAGAGAUACACUUAGGUGGAUUAUUCAGCAUUUCAUGAAAUAAAACGGAGUAGUAGUAGUAUUUCACCAUGAAAAUAGGGAAAUCUAUAUUGCUCUAGGCCAUUUCAUCAUGAAAAUGAGACUUGGUAAUCUUGGAAAUAAAUCUCUGGUUAAGCAAGAAUAAUAGCAAGAAGUAAAUCCAUUCAUGUGUGUAGUUUAUGCCAUAAGUGGAAUCUACAUCCUUAGAAUCUUCCUUAAGUGAAAUUUCUCUAUUUGCAUUAAGCAUUUGUGAACUAGAUUUGUAUAUCAGAUUUGUAGAUUACAGCAUUAUACUUUCUAUGCUCAAAUUAUUUGUAAGUCUAAAUAAUAGAGAAAACAAGGGCUUAGUAAUUGUUUAAUUUGCUCCUCGUGGGAUCGACCCGAUACGCAUCUUGUACUACAAUUGCGACCUGUAUACUUGUAGUCCAACGGGUGUAAAAUCGGAAUUAAACUUGCAUUGAUACAAAAAUCCCGUCAAUGAUAAAGAGCCAGACGUGGCCACGCCAACCACCAAGAAGCCAGACGGCCCCGCACAGACGUGACUAUGCUAGAGAUGCCACACAACCUCUCAAAGAAUGCCCAUAUUGCUAUAGCAACCUCACCCGUGGCAAACACAUGCUCAAUGGCCUCAGCCGCCAGGGAAGGGCAACACACACAUUUUGACGGGACAUGAACCCCAAACGUGCAGAGCAUGUCAUCUAAGAGCAUCCGACCCAUUAACAGCCGAACCAUAAAAAAUGAUACCUUGACGGGGGUUAGACGCUGCCAAGCCCUAGAGAGCAUGAUUGAAGCAUUAUCGACAUGCUGUCCCUUCUGAUAGGUUGAAUCUAAUGAAAAUUUCCCAGACAUCUCCGGUAUCCAUACCACCUCAUCCGCAGAAUGUUCAGUCGGGACCGAUUUUCUCAACACAGAAGACAUCAUAUCCCGUGGUAGACACUGAGCUAGGAGCUGAGCAUCCCAGUGACCCUGAGCAAUAAAGUCUCGGAAGGAUAGAUGUGAGGCCACUGGAGUUUUGAGGAACAACGCUCAACUACCCAACCAAUUAUCAUACCAAAAAUGACAUGACCCGUCUUGUACUAACCACAACAUGGAUAGCUCAACCUGGCGGCCGACAUCCAGCAUCCAUCUCCAUGUCGCUGAGGCAAACACCUUACACUCUGCCUGGCAAGGAUAAAUGCCUCAACAAUACUUCGCCUGCAUGAAGGAAGCCCACAGGGACGUCCCAGUCCGGAACUGCCACCAAAGCUUGUAAGAGAAAGCCCUAUAUACAUCACUAAGCCAGCGAAACCCCACCCUCCCUCCUCAAGCGGGAGACAAAGCUUAGCCCAGCGAAUCCAAUGAUACCUUGAUCCUUCCUCCGAAGAUCCCCACAGAAAGUUGCACAAGCUCGCUCAAUAACCCGGAACACAGCCUUGGGAAUUACUGCCGCAGACAGCAAGUGAAUCGGAAUAGCGGAUAGAACAUGUUUUAUCAAAGUGAUCCUUCCCCCCGACGGUAAAAGCUUAGUUUUCUAGGACAGUAUUUUCCCAAGGAUCUUCAGACACACCUCCGCAAAGUAGGCCGUCUUACACCUGCCGACAUAUAGGGGAAAGCCUAAAUAGCGGGUAGGAAACGCCUAUCGCAAAAACCCUGUAAUAUGCUCGAUUGUCCUACCUCUUGCACUGGAUAGUGACGAGUGGACCAAAUAGCCACUCUUCUGAGCAUUGAGCAAUUGGCCUAAGGAACGUUGAUACAUAUCGAGCACCCGCAUAACCUGGCGCAAAGAUGCGUCAUCUGCAAAAGCCAAAUGGGUUACCGCAGGGCAAUCCUGGGGUACCUUAAACCCGUGGUAGGAUGGCCAGGUUACAAGAUCGUUCAGUCCCCGUGAUAGAACCUCCAUGGCUAGGAUGAACAAGGCAGGGGAGAGCGGGUCCCCUUGACGAAGACUCCUGCUCGACCUAAAAUAGCCGUAAGAUGCCCCAUUAAUCACAACCGAAAAUCAGACAUUAGACACCAACCGCCAGACCAUAUCAAUAAAGCGUUCUCCAAACCCAAACUUCCGCAAUACUCUAAUCAGAUAAAGCCAGGACAUCCGGUCAUAAGCCUUGGCCAUGUCAAGUUUGAGCACUACGUUCCCCCCUCUCGCUUUCUUUCCUAUGACUGCAACAAUUUCCUGAGCCAAUAAAUAGUUCUCCGUAAUAUUCCUGCCUCUAACAAACCCUGACUGCUGGGGAAAGACCAGCUUUGGCAACAAGACAGCCAGUCUAUCAGACAAAAUGCGCGACAAAAACUUUAUUUAUGAAAUUGCAGAGGCUUAUAGGCCGAAAGUUAGAGAAGUCUUGAGGGUUUGAGACCUUUGGGAUGAGGACAAUAGAAGUCGAAGUAAUGAAACGCGGAAGAUCAGCCCACAAAAGAAGCUUACCACAACAUUAUACACAUCUUGGGCGAUAACAUCCCAUACAAAGGUAAAGAACUUGCCCGUAACCCAUCCGGUCCCGCCACACUGUCCCCAUCCAUGGCAUGCACCACAUUUUUCUCUUCUUCCAUUGAAGGAAUGUCCUCUAGAGUCAGGUUCUCUUCCCUCGUGAGGACAUGAGAGAUGAGCAGAAGCAACUCAGUGCUAGGCACCACAGACUCAGAGUACAGUCUCGAGAAGAAACGAAUGGCCUCAGUGGCAAUUUCCCCAUCGCCCUCCACCCAAGUCCCCACUUGCGUUUUGAUCCGGUGGAUCGUAUUCUGGACUUUACGUUGCUUAACCACCGUAUGGAAGAACUUAGAAUUCUAGUCCCCACUUGAGAGCCACCUAACACGUGCCUUUUGGCUCCAAAAUUGCUCCUCGAUUGCCAAUGCAUUCCGAAACUCCGCCUUCGCCUCCUGUAGCAAAUGUGAGCGUCCUCCGAGUCCUCGCUUUCCGCCCCUGUCUCUACCAGAACCAUUUUCGCCUCUGCCACCUUGACAGCCUCAAAAACAUUUUCAAAGAAGCAUUUAUUCCAUUGUUGAAUGGCUCUCCUCACAGUCAAUAGCUUAGUACACUACACACGCCAGGGAGACCCAUCCGCUGGGAGAGCCCAAGCAUUGCGGAUCACCUCCAACAGGGAGGACAGUGAUAUCCAAACGUUGAGAAAAUGGAAUGGCCGCGGCUUAUCAUCCUAAUGGGUGGCAAACGUGAUCUUUAAAGGGGCGUGAUCGGAAGGGUGCCUAGUCAGAUGAACCAUUGAAAUAGAGGCGGACAGGUCCGUACAUUCGCCGUUAACAAGGAGCCGAUCCGACCGCUUCCACACCCGAGCUCAACCUCACCUAUUAUUACACCAAGUGAAACUGGGUCCAGAGAACCCGGCAUCAAAAACUUCAGCCUCCUCCAUAAAUGACAUGAACUCCAACCCCACCGCGGACACAAAGGAGCAGCCCCCUCGCUUCUCAGUCGGAGCCAAGAUCACGUUGAAAUCCCCCCUAUGCACCAGGGAUGCGACCGUGGCUUGUCAAGUAAGAGAUCCCUCCACAAGUCCUUGCGACACUUCACGGAACAUCUCGCAUGGGCCCAGGACAACAUUAAGGAGCCAGGCAAUAGUGGAUGAUGAGCAUCUAACGUGAUAUAUUGGUUAGAAGACCCAACCUGCGAGCAAACAAAUAGUGACUUAUAGAAUACCCAGAGAUCAGCCGAUGUAUUAACCAUGACAUAAUCAAACGAAAGCUGCAAUCGUGUAGACUCAAUCUUAGGUUCACAGAUGCAAAGAAAUUGAACAUCAUGCAUGCGAAUUAACCUGAUCAAUCUCCUAAGAUUGGGAGCUUUCGACACCCCCCGAAUAUUCCAAAAUAGAGCAUUAACCAUGGGAUGAGGCAUUGAAAGAAUUUUGAGACGAUGUUGAAGAACAAAGCUGCCUGUCUGAGGGAAACUUAGCACACAUACCUUUCACCUUCACCUGCGUAAAUCCCUGCUCCAACUCCGUGGCCUGAUCAAUGUUAAGCUCCAACAGUGAUAGGUCAAUCGCGGGCCCAUGCGACCUGCUCAAUCUUGGCGACAAAUUCCUUGUUGCCCACGGCAACUCCUUCUCAUGCGAAGCUGCUGGCGAACCAAGCUCAACCGAAACAAGCUCCUUGAACCCACCUUGCAUGCAUGUGUCCGCCCUUCCAGCAGCCUCUUCCUCGGUCACCCUUCCCUCAACCGCACUAAGCUCCUUGAACCCACAUUGCAUGUCUACGUCUUCCCCUCCAGCAGCCAUUUCCUCGGUCACUACCAUCUCCAACCCAGCUCCUCCCUCAGCCGCUUCUUAGGCCACCAUCCCAUUGGCCGUGGCUGCACACUCUACUUCCCCUCCCGUAACCAUCAUGCAUGCGGGUUCUUUUGCCUUGGACGCUACCCCCUCCAACCCAGCCCUCUCCUCUGCCACCCCUGCGUCCCCUAUCAAACUAGGCGCACACAUCCCCUCCCCACCAACAACCAAACCUACCACGUCGCUGCCCACUGCCUCCUUCGCUACACCCACACCCAGCCCCUCUGUUCCCUUGUUAUUCACCGCCACCCCUUCCUCCGCAGGUAGAAUAGUGCCUUCACAGUUAGCCAUACCAUCAGGACUCCGCACAGCCUGCACCCUAAUCCCUUUGCCACUCUCCUUGUUAGCAGGAAAGCGACCAGGCCGUAGCGGGCUUUGUUGCACUCAGCGGUCGAAUGGCCAAGCCGCCAGCAUGAAGAGCAGUAAGAGGGCAGAUGCUCCACCACAAUCUCUUGCUAGAAACCUCCUCUCCCUCGACAGCCAUCCACACUCGAGAGCAGGUUGGUUUCAACAGAUCAACUUCAACACAGGCUCUGGCAACGCCGGGCCUUGUACCAGAUGCAGUUGCCGAGUCCAAGAACAACGGUGUACCCACAAGAGACAGAAUAGAGAAUAGCGAAUGUUUAUCAAAAAAAUGAAUUGGGAGUGCCGGCAAUGCAACCUCGGUACAAGCGAGGAUUCCCUAUGGACAUGGAAUUCCCUAGUCCAAUGAAACACCCUCAUAGGGUACUUCCCUAUGUUCCACAGCCCUCUCGUCCAGAUACGAUUGAAGUCCGUCUCUGCCGAACAUCUCAGCAGCACAUGUCUAUAAUCCAGCAAGCCGAUUGAGAUGUCGUCCUUCAGAUUGAGCAUCGUAAAAAAUUUUCGCACUACCUCCAGUGAUGGCCGGCCAUGGGAGUAUUUGCCCACUAGAGACCAAUGAAAAGAAGUAGCCAGCUUGUUGGCCUCCUCCUUGGAGAAGACUAUUGCUGCCUCCUUUGUACAAAGUGGCUAGUCGCAGAUGGACAGGAGAAGGAGCCGGUUCCGAGAAGAGUUGUGAAGAAGAUUUCUUGGCCGUUGGAGAGGCCAUCUGACCCUCCACGGUCUGCCUGAGGGCGGCCAUGGGCUGCCGCCAACCCUAGCAACGUUCCGACUUUCUUGGAGCAAAGGGUUUCGGAGGUUGUUUUCUAUAUGUUGGCUUUUUAAAUUAUUCAUUCAACUAGAUUAGAUCAUUUGCUUGAUUAGAUAGGAAAUACCCCUCGAAUAUGGGAUAUGGACAAGUAUGGCUUUCUAACCUUAGGACGCUCGUAUUCCCUCUAUAAAAGAGAAAAUCUAAUUACGAAUCUUAGCCUCCAUACUCGUUAUGUUGCAUCCUUCUCUUUUAGGUCACGUAUAUUUGUAUAUUACAAUUUUUUUCUAUUUUUUCAAGUUUCAUUGUUGCAUAUUGUGACCUCUUCAAAGAAUCCUAUAUGGGCAUCACAAUUAAUGCGAUUUGCACCAACUAAAAUUCGAAGAGAUAUAUUGACCCUUCUAAUAGCCAUUAGGUCUAGGUUUGCAUUCAUAUAAUAACAUCCAAAUAUGAUAAGUUUUUAGGUUAAAUUAAGAAAAUUUUUGACUAAAUCACGCAACUAGUCUUGAUUAGGUUGAAAGGGUGUUUUGGAUUUUAUCUUUGCCUUCCCUUUCUUCAACCUUUGACUCCCGAACUUUUCUCUCUGAUUUUCAAAGUCUUGGAAUCGUUUUAAAAAGGGGAUUUUCUCUACUUUUAUUUAAAAUUUAUUUUAGGUGACUUGAUACAUGUUAACUCAAUACCAAGUGUUAACUCCUAUUAUUAAUUAAAAACUCUUUUUAAACUAUUAUUUUGGGCCAAAAUCGUCGCACUUUAAGCCCCAUUUUUAGACCAUUUUUCUUUAUUUAUUAUCUAUAAAUCAAAAACUCAUUUUUACUCAAAAUUAAUCAAAAAUUUAUUUUUAUAAACCCGUAAUUUUAUUUUUUCAAAAAUGGGGACGACAUGCAACUAAUUUUGCAUGCCUUUUGUUAUUGCAUUUUCAAAUAAAGGAUGGAAUAAAAUACAAUUGACACUUCACCAAAUCCAUGAUCCAUGAUAUACCCUUGCGAGAGCUGGUUGUCAAACAAGAAUUUCAGUAUUUUUACUCGUCCUUCACUCAAUUUUCUCCGAUAGAUGCCAGCCUAGUCUCCUGCUACCAUGAAAAUAUGUCAGCUUUCCUAGUCUAGAGUUCUUUUCUUUUGUAAUUAUGGAAUGCUGGAAUACUCACCCUUGCAAAUAAAAAUCCUUUGACACUCAUUUAUCCCACUACUACCCAUCUGUAUACAAAAGUUAUAUUUACACUUUAUUUUUGUAAUACUACUAAAUACUUUUGCAAUUAUUUCUCAUAUAUAUUUAUUCUUUUAUCUUGCCUUCUAUUUUGUUUGCCUUCCUAGGGAGGCUUCUCCGUAUUGUCCAUCUUUAGUCUCUUUCUGCAUCUCCAAUUCGUAAUUUUGGAUGCAGUCUUUUCACCGAUUAUUGCAGUAUUCGUAGUUACUCUGGCAUUUUCAAUCCUAUUUCUAGACCUAAUAUCUAGCUUUUUAGGACUAAAUUUAUUUACUUCAUAGCCUCUUCUAACACUGCCAGACCAAUCAUCCUUCUGCCCGCCUUCCAUACCAGAUGGCCAGUGUUUUUGCAUGGGCUCCUGCUUUCAUACAUCUCCUCAGUGUUUCAAACUGAGAUUCAAUCAUUGCUUCUAUUCUACCAAUAUUGUCCUUCACAUCGUUAUUACCACACUCAAUUUCAACUAGCCUUUUUAUCAAUGUCUUCGCUACAGCCUACGCUAUUGUAAAACUGCACAUUGCCCUGUCAAUACAACCCUUCAGUUUUCUAACACUAGUAACAUUACAAAAUGCAAUUGCAAAUUCAACAACAGUUCACACAAGUGCAUUUUACAUUACUUGUUCCUCCUCAAAUAUGCGAUUCCUCCUCAUUAUUCUCACACUUUCAUUAGUCUCAUACCUUCUCCAAAAUCUUAUCCUUGGCCCUCUUGGAAGGAACUUGUGAAACUCAUCCUCACCUUCGAUAUAGAAUCGUUCCAGAUAAUAAAUCUACAUGGAUAAAAUAUCCAUUAAUCAUUUAUAGUUCCUUUAUAUCAAAGGUAAUUGUUAUAGCAAUUUUUAGCGCUAUUUUAAAAGGUGUGUCUUCAUAUACCAUCAAGAAAAGUGCACAUCCCGCUAUUCUGUUGCCAUCUUCUUCACAGAUGCUCUUCACCAAGUUGUCUAGUAUGAAUUUUGACUAGUUCAGAUUUUCCAUAUUCUUUUCUUUGCCGACUACAGCCAUAGGCUCCCUGCUCACUGUGUCAUCCAAAGUUGGCGCUAACGCCCUACCAACAACAAACAGUACGAACUUCACUUUGAAUUCUAAGCCUUCAUUAUGCAAACUAUAUAGGUUGUCCCUCAAUUCCUCCGCUAUAAUUUUUCCUUAGCCGUGACGUGUAAACAUUAGCCAUGAACAUUCAAUGUCCUCCCAUCUAUAUCAAAGUUAUCCACUAGCCAGUUGAACAUCUCUUCAUCAACCUCAACUUCCUUCACAUUCAAAAUUGACCCAAACCCAAACUCUCCAAUAACCUGCCACUGCUCAUCCAAAACGUAGUCCAUCAUAUUCUUCAUUGGAUGAGUCGAGUUCUUUAAUAUUCUUUCCGUCGUUAGCCAGAACUGCUUCCUUUCACUACUACAACUAAAGUAAUUCAUUGCUAUUGCACUUUUAUGCAUUAGUGAGGGCCGAAUUUCGCUUUCUCCUUCACUAUCCCACUGCAUAUCUGAAACAUCUAUUUCGGCCACCAACUCCAUUAGGGAUACCAUUUUGCAUUCUUUGUGGGAAUUCCUAUUUGGUUUCGCGAACCUUCAUUUUAUAUGCGUAUAGUGUUCAUGUGACAACCCACCACCCCUAGGGCGUACCCAAAGGUUUGGCGGACCGUCUGCCUAACUCUUGCCAGGACUUACUUACUCACUCAAUCAACUCUCAAGAUUAAUCAUUCAAGCCUCCAAAAUAACAUUUAAGUUCUACAAUUCAACCAAAAUAAAACUUAUUUAUAAGCUAAAAGUCAAAUAUAUGAUACAACAUCAAAUGUCAAAAUACAUCCUAUCAACCGAGAGUACAAGUACAAGAGGGUUAUACACUCUAGGUCACACUUAAUUGCUCCAGACUUCUAUUCUUGUAAGGAAAAAAAAAACUAAAGGAAUGAGUUAAAAAUCUAGUGAGGUUCCUAAACAAGCAAUCAGGUAGGGAAACCAAGGAAACAUUAUAUUUAACAAUUUGCAUACUUUGCACAGUAAUAUCCAAACAUUCAAGAAAUAAACACUCAAUCAUUAGAAGGAUACGUACUCACUUGGAGUCAUUCAUUCAAGUCAUUCAUUCAUUCAUUCGCCAACCAUUUUCCUUAUCCCUCCGACAUUAGAAAACAUUUGCAAGUGAAAACUUCUUCAGUGAAUUUGUCAUUCAUUCAUUGAUAUCAUUGCAUUGAAUUCAUUGGCCAGUUCUCCACCAGAUUUCAUGGUAAUAUUCGAGUAUACCAAACAUUGUCCUAGAGUCACCAGUCACCCGACCGAGUCCGCUUCUGGCUCGAGUCGACUGGCAAUGAAGGGCAAGAGCCCAGUUCAGCCAAAAGGCUUACAUUCAUACACAAAUAAUAUUCAAUCAUUUAAUCAUUGAAAAUUUCACGUUCACUUAGAUCAAGUGCGAUAAAGUAUAUACUCGCCUGUCGAAAAUCUAUUUAACAAUCAUUUAAAAGCAUUUAACAUUCAAACAAUAACUCAUAGAUUUUCACAUAGUCAUUUAUUGCACAAACAUCAAAAGUACACACUCACCAGUUUAAGCAAAGUAACAUCAAAAGUUUCCUUCCAAAUUAUGCCCUUGAUCACCGACAAACCCUAAGAAUAACCAAGAGAAAAUAUUAUGGUUCAAUCAUCCAAAGUUUAGGUGAACUAAAGAAAAUCAGAGUAACUACUAGUACAAAGGUGCAAAUAUGAUUUUGGAGUGAAAAGAGAACAUUUAGACCCAAGGGACAUGAGUAACCAAGAAUUUCCUCAUUCCAAUUAUAAACUGAACUCAAAAUGGUUUAACAACUCCAACUUAAAGUUGGAAAUGAAAGUAAGGACAGUUUUAGAAAAAUAGAAUUUUUCCAGUUUUGUGCUAUUCUAUUUGAAAAAUCAUAUCUCAAGCUUCUUAAAUCCAAAAUUUAUAAACUUUAUACUAUUGAAAAAUAGAUUCAAAGGAUAAUUUCUCAGAAGACACCUUUGCAAGAUUCUAUCCACAAGUCAGUCAAAAUCCAAUCUCAAGUGGCUACUUUAUCUAGUAGAAAGACAGAACAGGAAUGAAAAUUCAGUAAAAUUUGAAAAAUCACAGAUAUUCAUAGGAAUUGAGAAAAAUUCUGAAAUUUUCAUGGUCAAAAGUACUCUGAAUCUAGUUUCAAAUGCCAUAAGCAGAACUUAAGUUAGAUUUUUCUACACCAAGAUAUGACAGAUUUCCCAAGACUGCUCAGAGUCUCCUGCGGGAAAAAUUUCAGCAGCACUUCCUUUGUAUUUACCAAUUUUUCCAGCCAUUUCAAGGCUACAUUUUCACCAGGAGACAGCUCCAAUCAAGUCCACAAGAUAUAGGAUACAUAGAAUACUUAUUUUAACCACAAAUAUAGCUAUAACCAACAUAUACCUAAGCUGGAAAUUAACCAAACCCUAGCAACAACUUCACCAAACCCUAGCAAAACCAUGAAAUUACCAUAAACGUACUUCCUCCAACUUCAAUCAUAACAUAUCUUGCAUAAAUCUCAACAAACAGGUAAAAAGAGAUGUUUUCUAGAAAUUUUACCUCAAAACCCCAAGAUAAUAAGCAACUCAAGAGCUUUCUUCUCCAAGUAACUCUACCAAAAGCUUCCCUCCAAGCUUAACUCAAGACUAAUCGAUAUGGAUUAGGGUUAGUGUUUGGAUUUUUCACAAAUCAAGCAAGGAAAUCAAGAUGGAAUUUGGAAGUUUUUUCUCUCUUCUUUCCUCUCUCAAUUUCGUCCAUGAGGAAGGAGAAAUGAAGGAAAAUUGUGGCUAGAGGAAAGAUAAGAAGAAAGAAAAUGUCUUGGUCAACAUUUGGUUUAAUGGUUGACAAGUGUCACCCAACUAUUUUGUCUUUCUUUUCCUUUUCCUUAGUCAAUAAUGGUGGCUGAUUUAAGGGUUAAUUUAGGAAAAAUUAAAUGAAAUAAAAACAAGGAUGUUAGGGUAAGAAAGUAUUGGUCAAGCAGUGUACUCAACCGGUAACAAAUGGCACACAUUGGUUCAAGCCUAUUUCCCUUAACUCUCUUGUACUAUUGUUUUAACUUAUGAUUACUAACUUAUUAUUAUCAUUUCUAGUCACACACUUCCUUUUACCUAAGACUCACUCUUAUUCACCAAAUUUAGUGUACACAUGUCACCAAUCGAUCACACUACCAAAAUGUACCAAAACCCUAACUUACUCUAACUUUAAAAGUAAAAGUAAAACGCUUUACUUAACUAAUGAAAUCACCAUGAAAUUUAGGGCUAGUAAAUAAUUAAAUAGUCAAAGUAAAGAAAUAUAGAGGGAAAUAUAAAUUAAUUUUUCAAAAAUGGGAGGAAAUUCUGAAGGAAUUUUUGGGUCCUCACAGAUCAACUUCUCUGGCAAGCUUCGUGCCUUUUCAAUGACCUUAAUUUCACUCAUGGCCCUCUGACUUUGGCAAUUGAUUAUUUUAGGCACUCCACCUUUUCCAUUUACACUUUUGAAUCCCUCAAGUUUUCCCGUGGCCCAUACAGUCAACUUCAACACCAACGGCUCUUCAAGUUGCGAGUCACAAAACACUUUUACACAUGGCCGUCCAAAACAUAUUCCCUAUGAUGUGUGGCUUCAAUCACUCAAUCCUUUUCCCCCACCUUUCGCUACCUCUUCUUUGACCAAUAAACAUACCUCAGCAACUUCCUUAGAUUUACUUGUUAGAAAGAGAUGAUACAAAGUGCUAACUCUAUAAAAGAUGAUUAUUUCAUCGUGAAAUAAAUAUUUGCAUUCAAAUAAAUGAGAAUUUUUAUUUUAAUCGAUUCAGUAUUUUCACAAAAUCACUGACUUGAGGGAGAAAAUAAGCUAAAUCAAAGACUUCGAGGAGAAUAAUAGCUUUGAAGAAGUAGUGUUAAAAUGACAAAAGCACAAAUCCACUUAAACGUGACAAGAAUUUUUUCUAAUAGUUGUUAUUUUAUGUUGCUCAACUUAUAAAUCUUUCAGUAUACAAGUAAAUUAGGUUUGGCCAUAAAAAGCCACACAUGACAAACUCAAAAUCUGCUAAAGGCGACAAAGAACUUUUCUCAACUUUAUUUCACACUAGGAAUGUAUGUAGAAAGGAUUCAUAUGUUACAAUUAAGAUGUAGGCAUAAAAAGUCAUCGCAGACUUAGAUUGAAAUUAAAUUUUAUGAACUUUUUUCUAAGAGAAGUAAAGUUAUUAUUUUAAGUGAAGGACAAAAAAAUUUAAAAUGUUGUGAGUGGAUUUAAAAUUAAUGUUAAUACUUUAUACAAGAUGGACUUUUUCUGUAGGUGUUCCUUAAUUUAUAUAUCCAGUAUAUUUAUAUAGUGUUCUUAGUUCAAAUGAAAUCAUAAUAUCUCAAGUGUUUAAGCUAUAAAGUAUAAACGUAAGGCACAGACGAAACAUUUAUUUCUUUGACUGUGUUUGAGCUCUAGACUGAUUUAUCUUAAUUAAAAUUGGCAGUUUCAUUAAUCAAAUUUAUGUCUUUCAGAAAAUAGUAUCUCAAGGAUUUGACACUUUAUAUAUUAUUGUUUAAAUAAAUAUAUACACUGAUAAUUCAUACACUAUCAUCAUUAGCUUCAUAAUACAUAAGCAAAAUUUGAACUUUAAAUUUAAAUUCAAAUUAGUUAUCAUGCAUUCAGUGGUGUGAUGAUGUUGUAUACACUAGUAGAGUAUAAAAGAUUAAUUAUUUUUUCCCCAAAAUAUUGACUUAUAGCGUGCAAAUGUUGAGCAUAAAUACACAGCUGCGCAUGGUUAUACAAUAUUCUAGGCCUAAAAGUACGCAAUUGCAAAGAAUUUCUUAGUCAAAUUAAACUCACUACUACUUACGUUCCAAUCAAAAUGUCAAUACUUUUUAUUUUGAAAAGUCGUAAAUUUUUUAUCCUCUCCUUUCACUAUAAUCCCCUUUAAUCAUAUAUAUGUUAUCAUUUAAUUUUAAACUUACUGGAGCAAGAUAAAAAAAAUACAAAUAUUACAAUCAAACUGCUUCUUAAAAAAUUAGACUUCCUUUGAUCGUAUGAGACGGAUGAAGUAUUAUAUUCCAAUUCCCGAGGCCUUUAUCCUCUCUUCCUCCUGGAUUUGUACAACCAAGGAGCUGAUAGACUAAUUUAGCUUUUUUUUUUUUUUUGGGAUAAGAAUAGACUAAUUUAACUAAAUCCAAACAAUAAAGCACCAUUUGUACAUAUUUUAUUCACUAAUGGCACAACUUUACAUAAUAAUCACGGAUUCCCAUCAAUUUUAAACAAAACCCUGUUGCAUUCACUAUACCUUAUACACUUUCACCGGUGGGAUUCCAUACACUGAAGACCCAAAGCACACUGGUUAUUGAACAACCCCACAAACCACCAAGAAAUGGCCGCCCAAACUCACCUGUUUCAUCCACUCCACUCGUUAUCUCUGCCACUGAAAACCCCAUCUAAAUCUCCUGAAUUUAAACCCAAGCUGAAACCCUCCACAUUCAUCAUCUCCAGCAAGCUCCGGGCAGCGGUGGUAGGAGGAGGUCCAGCUGGAUCCUCUGCAGCUGAAGCACUUGCUGCUGGUGGCAUAGAGACCUUCCUCUUCGAACGCAGCCCCUCUACUGCCAAACCCUGUGGUGGAGCAAUCCCACUUUGUAUGUUAGAUGAGUUCCCCAUCCCUCCUCACCUCAUUGACCGCAAAGUCACCCGCAUGAAGAUAAUAUCUCCGUCGAAUCUGGCUGUUGAUUUUGGUAAAACUCUGAAGCCCCAUGAGUUCAUCUCCAUGCUCCGCCGAGAAGUGCUUGAUGACUUUCUACGCCGCUGUGCUGAGUCUUGUGGCGCCACACUUAUCCAAGGACUUGUCACAAAUGUGGUGGUUCCCCUAACAAACAGCUCUUCAUAUGUUAUUCAAUAUAAUAAGAAUAAUUCACAGAAAUCUCUUGCUGUUGAUGUUGUUAUUGGCGCUGAAGGAGCCAGCAGUAAGGUGGCUAAGGCCAUAAAAGCAGGAGAUUACACUUGUGCUAUUGUUUUUCAAGAAAGGAUUAAGUUGCCUGAGGAGAAAAUGGAAUAUUAUGAAAAUUUGGCUGAAAUGUAUGUUGGAAAUGAUGUCUCACCUGAUUUUUAUGCGUGGGUUUUCCCCAAGUGCGAUCAUGUGGCAGUGGGAACGGGGCCACUAUGCUCAAAAAAGGAUAUCAAGAUGCUUCAGCAUGGCAUAAGAGCAAAAGUUACGCCAAAAAC
rnacentral:lncRNA from 1 species